UUUGAAAGCACUGUAGCCUUACGCGCGCUCUCUCUCUCUGUAAUAUACCGAAUUUUAAUAUAAAGGUAAGUAUAAAUAAAAAUAGUAUGAGAUAUUAUUUUUAUUUGAUUUAAAGAAGUAAAAUAUGAGUCGGAAGUGACUUGUGCUGAAAUCGGAAUAAAAACAGAAGAUUUAAAAUUUUCUAUAAAGAACGGGGCUGAUAUUUUAGCAGAAAAUGCACAGUGUCAGAAAUUAUGAAAAUUGGAGAAUAUAUCAGAAUUAUUUUUAUGAGACUAGAUUUAAAGUUUCAUGUCAUUCCGACACCCGAAAAGUGAAAAUAAAAUCUGACUGCUAUUUGCUAGAGAUUUUAGUUCGGUAGAGCUUUCGGUGACAAAAAAUGGUCGAAACUGAGAAGUUAAGAUAUUGUUUUUCUUGUUAAGUUAAACCGAGCCUGACUGUCAAAUUUGAGUGCAAACUGACAUUCAGAAAGGCUCCGGCGAAAAAUAUCAGAUUCUGAAAGCUAAACUGAAAGUGAAUA
rnacentral:lncRNA from 1 species